CGGGGCGUAGCGCAGCUUGGUAGCGCGCACGGUUCGGGACCGUGAGGUCGGAGGUUCAAAUCCUCUCGCCCCGA
rnacentral:tRNA from 2 species